GACGAACGCUGGCGGCGUGCUUAACACAUGCAAGUCGAACGGAAAGGCCCAGCUUGCUGGGUGCUCGAGUGGCGAACGGGUGAGUAACACGUGGGUGAUCUGCCUCUAACUUCGGGAUAAGCUUGGGAAACUGGGUCUAAUACCGGAUAGGACAAUCGUUUAGUGUCGGUUGUGGAAAGUUUUUUCGGUUAGGGAUGAGCCCGCGGCCUAUCAGCUUGUUGGUGGGGUAAUGGCCUACCAAGGCGUCGACGGGUAGCCGGCCUGAGAGGGUGGACGGCCACAUUGGGACUGAGAUACGGCCCAGACUCCUACGGGAGGCAGCAGUGGGGAAUAUUGCACAAUGGGCGCAAGCCUGAUGCAGCGACGCCGCGUGGGGGAUGACGGCCUUCGGGUUGUAAACCUAUUUCGACAGGGACGAAGAUUUGGUGACGGUACCUGUAUAAGAAGCACCGGCUAACUACGUG
rnacentral:rRNA from 1 species